GAUGAACGCUGGCGGCGUGCCUAAUACAUGCCAGUCGAGCGAACAGACGAGGAGCUUGCUCCUCUGACGUUAGCGGCGGACGGGUGAGUAACACGUGGAUAACCUACCUAUAAGACUGGGAUAACUUCGGGAAACCGGAGCUAAUACCGGAUAAUAUAUUGAACCGCAUGGUUCAAUAGUGAAAGACGGUUUUGCUGUCACUUAUAGAUGGAUCCGCGCCGCAUUAGCUAGUUGGUAAGGUAACGGCUUACCAAGGCAACGAUGCGUAGCCGACCUGAGAGGGUGAUCGGCCACACUGGAACUGAGACACGGUCCAGACUCCUACGGGAGGCAGCAGUAGGGAAUCUUCCGCAAUGGGCGAAAGCCUGACGGGGCAACGCCGCGUGAGUGAUGAAGGUCUUCGGAUCGUAAAACUCUGUUAUUAGGGAAGAACAAAUGUGUAAGUAACUAUUCACGUCUUGACGGUACCUAAUCAGAAAGCCACGGCUAACUACGUG
rnacentral:rRNA from 1 species